GUAACGAUCUCACCGGCUCACCUAGACGGGAUUAUAUCAAAACUGUCGAGAGAUCACGAGAUCAUGUUACUGGCGGCUCAACAGUUGAAAUCAUUCGCGUUCUAGACUUUGUGGUGUUCAGUUGUGUACUUCACUUUUAUCUGUUAGUAUUAUUUUAGGGGUCAGAUUAUAUUUGACAAGACAACAUGAAGGUGCUAAUUGCUUUGGCGAUCCUCGGAUACUCAUCACUGGUUAAAGCUGAUCAACCAAAAAAAGCGAUGGCAUUUCUGCAAGGUACUUCUGGUGUGUUCGGUAACGUAACUCUCUCACAGCCAUCCUGCACCGAGCCUGUGUUCAUCGAGGUCACCGUAUUCGGCCUCACACCCGGUAAGCAUGGGUUCCACAUUCACGAAAAAGGAGAUUUGAGCGACGGCUGUGCCAGCACUGGUGGUCAUUACAAUCCAGAUAAGGUAACGCACGGUGCUCCCAACGAUCAGGUGCGUCAUGUAGGCGACUUGGGUAAUAUCGUGGCUGAUGAAACUGGUCUGGCGAAAACAUCGUUUUCCGACACUGUUGUUUCGCUUUACGGUAGCCGUAGUGUCCUUGGUCGGGCCAUUGUUGUGCAUGCCGGUGUUGAUGAUUUUGGAAAAACGAAUCACCCAGACUCACUAAAAACUGGUAACGCCGGGGGACGAGUUGUGUGUGGAGUUAUCGGAGUCCUUUUCAAUUAGGACGAUCGGUGAUGUAGAUGUUUUGAAAUCGCGAAGACAAUUCUACAUAGAGAAUUCAAAUUUAAACCACUGUUCUGCACGGGUAGUAUAAGGGCAUCAGAAAUGUUAGGUGAAUUGUAAAAAAUUACAACCCGUACAGUUAUUAUUGCUUUGUGUGGCAAGUACCCGUUCGAUGAACCGGAGCAAUUAUGCAGCAGUAAUCAAUCAAUGGUUAAACCAGCCCUAAUAAGCCUAUUGCUAACAUUCUUAGCUCUACGGGCUCUUGGCAACUAAUUCUUCACUAAAAAUGGCAUCGAAAUCAGAGAGCCAGUGUCAUUUGAUUCCGGCAGUGCUACCAUUAGAAUGAAUGACAGGUAGUUCAUUGAACUGUACAUUUACAAAAUUUUCUUCUCCUUUUACUUGAGAUCUACAUGCGUCACUUUUGGAAGUGCCUGAAAAUGAAAAAUAAGUGGAUUUUCGCGUGAGCAAAGCUUUUUGGCUUUUCUUUGUAUUUAUGUACAUGUAUCAGCACGCGAACAAACCUGAUGCUUGUUACCUUAUUUAUUGAGUUUGUAUAUAUUUAUUUUAAUUUUGUUACUAGGAGUUAAAGAAAUUCUUUGUUUUCGACGAGUACAUUAAGAUUGUGGUGGCCAGUCUGGUUUCUGUCCAACACCGCAUUGUAUUUAUUGCACUACCAGCGAUAUGUGAGACGCAUGCCAUUAACCUUGAAAAUACUCAAGGCCAGUAACCAGUGCACAGCUUGAGUGAUGAGUUCGAGAUUAUUUGAGAAUCAAUAAAGAUAAUCAAAGCUUUCAAA